rnacentral:misc_RNA from 1 species
GGCUUAGAGAAAGGCUGAGAAUAGUGCAAGAGGAAAAAGAGAAGUUGACUUUCUCUGCAGAGCACAGAGAAAGGGUAAAUGCACAAUUGAGACUUGUGGAAGAUAUAGUGUGCCAGCUUCGAGAGAUUCAGUUGCUGAGAAAGCCUGUAAGGCAGGCUUCUUUACCACCAUCAUCUUCUAAGGAGAACGUGAAAAAAAGACAUUGCCGGAGUGUGUCAUGGGAAGAUUCUGAAAAUGCUUAAAUCAAGCACUGGAAUCAGCAGAAUAGAGAAGAUUUAGGUUUGCCUCAAGUUUUUUUUUUUAUAUAUUUUUUUAUAGAAGCUUGGAACCUGUGC